rnacentral:lncRNA from 1 species
UUGGCAUCAGGUGCUGCUGAGCAGGAUCGAGGAGGGAGGGGGUCUCUCUGUGCAGGAAGCUGGCUGACCUGCAGGCCCCGGGAGCUGCAUCCGGGCCUCGGGGUCCCGCCUGGAUUCGAACUUUCGGUCACUAGGGGUCAGUAGCGAACUCUGCAAACCUGGGGGCCAGGCCCGGCGGGCCCCGAGGGCUUGUGAGGCUUUGAAACAGCAGCAACGUCGCCCCAGGACCCGGGAACCCGUUCAGGGCCCAGGAGGCCUCGCCCCCGCCUGUCACUCAAACCCGGGCUGACCCGCUUUCCCCUCGGGGCUGCCACGAGCCGUGGACGCCGCGUGGGGUCUGCACGCCGUCUCCUGGCGGCAGGAGCACCGAGGUCACGCUGGACCCCGAGCUUCUGAGGGCGCACGGGCUGCCCCUGGGAGCGCAAACUCUCCUUCCCGGGGGAUGGGGGGGGGGGGGCAGACGCUGUGUGGCGCAUGCGCAGGACAGAAACUGGCCUUGGCGUCUUCAGGUUGCAAACCUGAUCCAGAGCCCGCCCGGGGGAGGCUGGGGGUUCGUGACAACCUGGGGGUGCGAGCGGCCCUCCUGGGGGGAUGAGAGGGGCCCUCCUGGGGAUGAGAGGGGCUCUCCUGGGGAUGAGAGGGGCCCUCCUGGGGGGAUGAGAGGGGCCCUGUUGGGAAUAGGAUGGAGACUCUGGCCCCCAAGUCGAGCCCAGCAGAGGCGGCCCCCACCCCCGGCAGGUUCCCGCCCCGUUUGCGUGUCUCCUCCCGCAGCAGCCCCCUCGGGCCCCCCAGGGGGUGGGAGCCGGUGGCGCAAAGUCAGGCAGGGCUUUUUUUUUGUUGUUUUCUCGCGGUGCCACAACCGGCUCGGUGCGUCUCCGUUUGCUCUUCAUGUAAAUCGGAGAUUAGCGCCCUUAUCUCCCGGGUCAUCGCUGUUGUCAGCGCAGCCGGGAAACUCCCUCCAAACCCCAACGGCUUCGCUUCUGCUCCCGGAGCCGUCCGUGCGCCCAGAGAAGCGGGACCACUCACCCCACGCCUCCAUCUACGCCGCAGACCACUCACCCCACGCCUCCAUCUACGCCGCAGACCAUUCACCCCUGCUGGGAGGACGGCAUCUUCCGGGAACAAAGCCUGUAGGCCCUGAGGCUGGUGGUAAACAGCUCAGGACCGAGUCCCAGAGUCUUAGCUUCCCAUUGAUGUCUCUGAGGGAUUCAGGCUCUGCUUGA